ACGGGUGUAGUUCAAGGGUAGAAUAGUGGUCUCCAAAACCAUUGAUGGGAGUUCGAAUCUCUCCACCCGUGCUA
rnacentral:tRNA from 2 species